rnacentral:misc_RNA from 1 species
GGCAACAGAAGGUAGAGAAUUAAUGGUGGGUACCUUAAGAUAAUGUUCACUUCCAGUAGCUUUGUUUGGCACAAUCCUGCACCGCUGGAGCCUAUGCCCUCAAAAGCAAUCUUCGAAUCUCACAGUUGAUGGGCUUCCCAGUAAUGUACAACACAAAAUACAAAUGCUUAAAGAAUCAAUAUUUAUCAUUUAUACACAAUAGAUUUAUCCCAUCACAAAUAAAAUAGCGUCACUGGCCAAAACUGCAGAACAUGGAUGAAACUAAAAGGAAUACAAACAUUUCUGACCAACUAAAAUAGAUUGCUUGUAGGGAGGAAGGGAGAGAUAAAGAGUGCUUGCCAGCUGAUUAGCCAAACCACAAUUGCUGAUCAACUCUAUGGAUUACCUGCGUUCUGAACUUUUAAUUUUUCCUUUUCCCUCUGAUUAUUUCUCCGUUGAAAGUUUUAGUCCUGCAUUAAGCAUGUUGCUGCUAAUACUAAUACCAUCUUAUUGUGGUGCUAACCUCCACACGCGAACAAAGGCAUCCUCCCCUGCGCUGACCAAAGUGCACUCAUCAGUAAAUGCCAAGCCGUAAACUCCACCCAAGUUGGCUCCUUUUAUGGUUAUGCGGCUUGAAGCAGGCUUCCCAACUUCAUAAAUAAUGACACAGGUAUCUAGUGAUCCAGUAGCCACCAAAGAGCUAUUAGGAGACCAUGCGAGGCAGUUUAUACGAGCAGUGUGGUACAGCAUGUUAUUAAGCUUAACCUCCUUGGAGGCACGGUCCCAAACAACAGCUUCACGAUUUAUAUCAGCAGAGGCAAACAUGGAGACAUCUGGCGAAUAUCGUAUUACACUGAUUGCACCUCUAUGCUUCUCAAGGACUGCUUCUUCAGUAAGAUUAUCACCAGACACCGAAUAUAUGUGCAACUUACCAUCUUGGCCACCCACAAUUGCUUCACUUCCAUCAGGUGCAAUUAUAGAUGCCGUCACAGUAAAUCCAAGGUUGAUGUUUGACACUACUUUCAGAUCUUUAAGCAAGGAAACUCCUGACUCGGUUGAAACCAAAGCUAGUCCGGGUGAAUCAAUGGCAAGGCUCAAAUCCUUAGGCUGACUGCCAAUAUCAACCUGCUCUGCUGCUCCACAUUCAUCCCCAUUUAGAGGAACUCUCUGUACCUGAGGUGAAUGAAACAAAAAUUAAUACGCUAUAGUUUGAUGAUAAUCAUCAAAUUCUAGAAUACACAGAAAAUAUCUAAUGUUAACUCUAAAGUUACUGAAGUGCCAAUGAACUUAGCUUUAUUAUUUUCCUUUUUGCCCUUUAAGGUUGUGGAUCAUAUUUGAGUUUCCCUAUUUUCUAAUGUGAUGCAAGUAAGGCAACCUUAAGAACUGUCAUAUUUCUUUGACUAAAUUUUUUAGAGUUGUCAAACUAGUAAAAAAAGGUCAUCUAUGCAGUGACUGCGUCUUACACGUCACCAUUAAAGAUUAUCCACUGUUUUGAGGACCAAACAAAAAACUUCAAAAAACGCAGUGCAUAAUAUCCAUGGAUGUCACAAUUGAACACAUCAAAUCAGAAAGAAAAAAAUUUUGACACUUUUUGGUGUAAUGAGCAUUUGAAAAACCAAAUACUUCCACAUCCUUUCAUUUAGUAAUAAUAAUUAAUCUGCCAUAACUUAACUAGUUGUCAAAUCCAGAUGUAAUAACCUCUUGUUCAACAGCUACUAAACGUUUAACUAAAGCAUUAUCUUUCCUCUCUAGUCUACCCUUGUACCCAUGACCUUGAGUCCACUUAAAAAUGUGUCCAUCAUAGCUGUUUGUCAGAACCAACUUUGGACACCCUGGACAGCUGUUAAUGCAUUGACAUUUUUCAUGCGUCCAGAAAAGGAUACAGGAGCUUUAUCAAGAUCACUAGCAGAAAAUAAGCGAAUUGUGCCACCAAGGGAAACAAUAACAAGAUGAUGAUUUUGCCAAUGACAUCCAACCAGCAUAUCAUCAACUCCACCAGAAGCAGGAAAUGCCAAAGUUUUUAUCACAUUCCCACAACCAUUCUCAGAAAUUUCCCAUAUCUUUGCGGUCUUGUCAGCCGAGACAGUAAGUACUUGUUUGCUAUCAGGACUCCAACAACUAGCAUAGAUGCUGGAUGUAUGACCAUCAUCCACAGUCUUCCCAUCGUAUAUUAUGCCCCUUCUUGUCUGAGCCUACACUAAUGCAUUUGCUGCCGUCUGGUGAAACUCUAACACAAUUGACAAAAUUGGAAUGCUCCCUGUAGCUGUGGGAGAGCAUGAACUUCUAGGGUGGACCUUCAUAGAAGUUCACUAUGAAUUCCUCUCCACAAGUGACAAUUCGGAACAGCCUUGUAGGUUUAAAUGCACAACUUAAAACCCGCCGUGAGUGCCCAUCAAAAUCUCCUACAGUACUGCCUGUAUCCCACCUGCAGCUGCAACCACAUUUGCAAAAUCGUAUAUAGCUGAAAAACCAGUUUUUUGCUAAGAGAGAGCAGCUUAUACAAAUUUAUGAACAAAUAAAGGCAAUUUUUGGUAUGGGUUUCAAAUCCAACAGCCUCACCUCAAAUUAUUGUAGAAAAAAAGGACCAAAAACUAGCUAGAGCAAGUCUUACAGUUUUUUAUAAAUAAGACAAAAACCAAUGUGGAUGUGGGACAACACACAUACUAGACAGAACAAAAUGACAGAAUCUAACUCACCCAAAAUUAGCUGAGAUUUGCCCAAGACCCAAAUGUGGGACAACAAUUAUCUUCAAAUAUUAAUAAACGGACUAAAUUUUCGGCAUUAAGAUGUCAAAUUAUGAAUAUUUUAGCUUAAAAACAUCAAUUUUUUAUUUUUAAACAAAAUUAACCAGUCAAUUUGGGUGUGAGAAUUACUCAACCAUUGUAGCUUGAGCUCUCAUUAGCCUUACUUUUUGGCGCCAAAGUUACAAAAGAAAAGAGAACUCACAUAAAAGCACUGACGAAGGACUUUCCCUUGCCGUCACCGGAAGCAACAAUUCUCAACAUAUCGAGCGACCACUGCUAAUCGUCGAUCCGACCCGAUAGGACACGAAAUUCUUGUGCAGCACAAACUCAUUAUGGGCACCCCAGAUCCUCAUAGUGCCCGA